rnacentral:rRNA from 1 species
UACGUAGGGUGCGAGCGUUGUCCGGAAUUACUGGGCGUAAAGAGCUCGUAGGUGGUUUGUCGCGUUGUUCGUGAAAACCGGGGGCUUAACCCUCGGCGUGCGGGCGAUACGGGCAGACUGGAGUACUGCAGGGGAGACUGGAAUUCCUGGUGUAGCGGUGGAAUGCGCAGAUAUCAGGAGGAACACCGGUGGCGAAGGCGGGUCUCUGGGCAGUAACUGACGCUGAGGCACGAAAGCUAGGGGAGCAAACAGG